rnacentral:rRNA from 1 species
AGUGAACGCUGGCGAUAGGCCUAACACAUGCAAGUCGAACGGCAGCACAGUAAGAGCUUGCUCUUACGGGUGGCGAGUGGCGGACGGGUGAGGAAUACAUCGGAAUCUACUUUUUCGUGGGGGAUAACGUAGGGAAACUUACGCUAAUACCGCAUACGACCUACGGGUGAAAGCAGGGGAUCUUCGGACCUUGCGCGAUUGAAUGAGCCGAUGUCGGAUUAGCUAGUUGGCGGGGUAAAGGCCCACCAAGGCGACGAUCCGUAGCUGGUCUGAGAGGAUGAUAGGCCACACGGGAACUGAGACAGGGGCCAGCCGCCGACGGAGGGGCGCAGUGGGAAAUAUGGGGCGAGGGGCGCAAGCUGGAUGCAGCCAUACCGCGUGGGUGAAGAACGCGUGCGGUUAGUAGAGGUCUGUUGUGGGGAAAGAAAAGCAGAAGGUGAACCCCCCAUUGUUCGGACGGGAAAAAAAAAAUAGCAACCGACUAACUUCGGGCCAGAAGACGGAAUAAUAAGCGGAAGAGCACAGGUUUGAAC